rnacentral:rRNA from 1 species
AGAGUUUGAUCCUGGCUCAGAAUCAACGCUGGCGGCGUGCCUCAGACAUGCAAGUCGAACGAGAAAGUCCCCUUCGGGGGAUAAGUACAGUGGCGCACGGGUGAGUAACACGUAGGUAAUCUACCUUCGGGUGGGGAAUAACCCAGGGAAACUUGGGCUAACACCGCAUAAUGCAGCGGCACCACAUGGUGACAGUUGUUAAAGCGGGGGAUCUUAGGACCUCGCGCCUGAAGAGGAGCCUGCGGCGGAUUAGCUAGUUGGUGAGGUAACGGCUCACCAAGGUGACGAUCCGUAGCCGGCCUGAGAGGGCGGUCGGCCACACUGACACUGACAUACGGGUCAGACUCCUACGGGAGGCAGCAGUCGGGAAUUUUGGGCAAUGGGCGAAAGCCUGACCCAGCAACGCCGCGUGAAGGAUGAAAUCCCUCGGGAUGUAAACUUCGCAAGAAUAGGAAGAAUUAGUAGGGGUCAAUACCCCCUAUGAUGACGGUACUAUUUGUAAGCUCCGGCUAACUCCGUGCCAGCAGCCGCGGUAAUACGGGGGGAGCAAGCGUUGUUCGGAUUUACUGGGCGUAAAGGGCGCGUAGGCGGCCAGCGCAAGUCAGUUGUGAAAUCUCCGGGCUUAACUCGGAACGGUCAACUGAUACUGCGCGGCUAGAGUGCGGAAGGGGCAACUGGAAUUCUCGGUGUAGCGGUGAAAUGCGUAGAUAUCGAGAGGAACACCUGCGGCGAAAGCGGGUUGCUGGGCCGACACUGACGCUGAUGCGCGAAAGCCAGGGGAGCGAACGGGAUUAGAUACCCCGGUAGUCC